GACGAACGCUGGCGGCGUGCCUAAUACAUGCAAGUUGAGCGCUGAAGGUUGGUACUUGUACCAACUGGAUGAGCAGCGAACGGGUGAGUAACGCGUGGGGAAUCUGCCUUUGAGCGGGGGACAACAUUUGGAAACGAAUGCUAAUACCGCAUAAAAACUUUAAACACAAGUUUUAAGUUUGAAAGAUGCAAUUGCAUCACUCAAAGAUGAUCCCGCGUUGUAUUAGCUAGUUGGUGAGGUAAAGGCUCACCAAGGCGAUGAUACAUAGCCGACCUGAGAGGGGGGACGGCCAACAUGGGACUGGAGCACGGCUCAAGCUCCUACGGGGGGCAGCAAGUAGGGAAUUUCGGGAAUGGGCGGAAGGCUUGCCGGACAACGCCGCGGGAGGGGAUAAGGGUUUCGGGUCGGAAAACUCUGGUGAUAGGGGAGAACGUAAGUUGGAAUUGAAAACUCAUCAAGUGACGGUAACUACCCAGAAAGCGACGGCUAACUACGUG
rnacentral:rRNA from 1 species